AGCUGUAGCUAGUAGUUCUCUGGCAAAUAAUUUUGUAGGUUUAAUUAUUAAGGUUUAGGGCUAAGCAUA
rnacentral:tRNA from 1 species